UACGGAGGGUGCAAGCGUUAUCCGGAUUCACUGGGUUUAAAGGGUGCGUAGGCGGGCAGGUAAGUCAGUGGUGAAAUCCCCGAGCUUAACUUGGGGAACUGCCGUUGAUACUAUCUGUCUUGAAUACUAUGGAGGUAAGCGGAAUAUGUCAUGUAGCGGUGAAAUGCUUAGAUAUGACAUAGAACACCAAUUGCGAAGGCAGCUUGCUACACAGUUAUUGACGCUGAGGCACGAAAGCGUGGGGAUCAAACAGG
rnacentral:rRNA from 1 species